rnacentral:lncRNA from 1 species
CCGAGUAAGUAGGUUGUUUGCGUAUGGGAGUAAAAGAGGACUUGAUGCCUUAUAAUGCUAUGGUUGGGUUUUACCUUAAUGAUCUUUAGUAGUUGUGGAUGCUUGCUAGAGUUCCAAUCAUAAGUUCAUAUGAUCCAAGAAAAGAAAGUAUGUUAGCUUAUGCCUCUCCCUCAAAUAAAAUUGCAAUAAUGAUUACCUGUCUAGUUAUCGAUUGUCUAGGGACAAAUAACUUUCUCGUGACAAAAAGCUCUCUACUGAAACUAAUUUAGUUGUGUAUUUAUCUAAACAGCCCCUAGCUUUUAUUUACGUGCUCUUUAUUAUCUUGCAAACCUAUCCAACAACACCUACAAAGUACUUCUAGUUUCAUACUUGUUUUAGGUAAAGCGAACGUUAAGUGUGCGUGGAGUUGUAUCGGUGGUCGAUAGAUCUUGAGGGAAUAUUUGUUCUACCUUUAGCUCAUCAUUGGGUUCGACACUCCUACUUAUCGAAAGAGGCUACAAUUGAUCCCCUAUACUUGUGGGUUAUCAAGACCUUUUUCUGGCACCGUUGUCGAGGAGCAAUAGCGUGGGGUGAAUAUUCUCGUGUGUGCUUGUUUGCUUUAUCACUAAGUGGAUUUUAUUUGAUGUUCUAAGUUGUUCUCUAUCUUUAGUUAUGGAUAUGGAACACGAAAUACCAAAAAAAUAGGUUUACUUGCUACUCUUGGAGAUGGGGAACCUCCUAAAACCCUCGAUGCUCAUUAUGUGCAAGAUAUUAUGCACUACUUUAAUAAUCCUGAGAAAACCCCAUUCAAUUAUAUAAUGGGAGACACGUUGGAUCAACGUGAAUACUUUAGGGAUUACUGCUUGACUCAAAAACGGAAGCUAUUAUGGGAUCAAAUUUAUAUGUUGCAUUGGUAUGCUCCAACUAUGCUUGAGAUAUGAUUAUACUUGUUGCUCUAGGAUGAAAGCUCCACACCUUCCCUUUUCAUGCAAAUUUAAUGAUAAUGAAACCUUAGCUUCUUACGCUAAUGGUAUAUAUGAUUACUAUGAUGUGGAACGAAAAGAAGAAUCCACAACUACUUGUGAAAUUGAAUCUUUGUUUAAAGAGUUUGAAGAUUUUGAUGAUUCAGUUUAUAGACCUGAAAAUUUAGCUAUCCUUAAAUAUUGCUAUGAGAAUUAUAAAUACAAUUAUGAUAUUGAUGAAUUUAUUGAGAAAGUCUCCGCUGUCCGAGAAGGGACUAAUAUUUUUGCAGGAGUCUAUGGAAGAAGAAAUUGAUGAAACUAUGAGCUCAUUGGAUGAAAAAGAUGAUGAGGAGAGCGAAGAAUGGAAGGAGGAAGAUCGGAUUAGCUACCCGUUCCCACCUUCUAAUGAGGGUAACUCUCCAACUCAUACAUUAUUUAAUGUCCCUUCGUUCUUACUGAAGGAUGAAUGCCAUGAUAAUUGCUAUGAUCCCGUUGAUUCGUUUGAAAUAUCCCUUUUUGAUGAACUUGAUGCUCGCUAUUCUUGUGGCCAAGAUGCCAAUAUGAAUUAUUCUUAUGGAGAUGAACUUUCUAUUGUUCCUUAUGUGAAACAUGAAAUUAUUUCUAUUGAACGCACACAUGAUAGUCCUCUUAUCUUUUUGAAUUCUCCAAACUACACUUUAUCGGAGAAGUUUGCAUUUAUUAAGGAUUAUAUUGAUGGGUGGCCUUUUACCGUUGCACAUGAUAAUUUUGAUGAAUAUAAUAUGCAUGUGCUUGAUGCUCCUACUUGCAAUUAUUAUGACAUAGGAACUACAUCUCUACCUCUCUAUGUUUCCAACACGAUAAAAUUGCAACAAACUUCUUAUGCUGUGCAUUGGCCUUUACUUGAUGUGCAUGAAUUGUUCUUGUAUGACAUGCCAAUGCAUAGGAAGAGAGUUAGACUUCGUCAUUGCUUGAUAUAUGUUUCUUUGUGCUAACUACUAAAUGCCAAAUCAUUGCUAAUUCAAAUUGGCUUUGAUAUACCUUGGGAUCCGGGUGGAUUCAUUACUUGAGCACCUUAUGCCUAGCUUAAUGGCUUUAAAGAGAGCGCUACCAGGGAGAUAGUCGGAAGUUUUAGAGAGUCAUUUAUUUCUGUUGAGUGCUUUUAUAGAGUUUAAAAACAAAAAAAUAAAGAGGGAACCCAAACCUUUUCAAAAAGGAAAGUGAAAGUGAGAGAGACAAGCAUUGUUGAAGUGAGGGAGCUCCUUGAACUUUGUUCAUGCUCACGGAAACUUUGUGAAUCUUGAUUACAGAAACUUUUCAACAAAAAUAAUUAUCCCCUUGUACAAUUCCAUUGUAUUAUAAAAAAUAAUGUGCCAAGAUUUGCCUUUAGGAUGUUUACAUUGCUUGUUGCUUUGUGCGGUGCAAAACAGAAACUUUGGCUGUAGUGUGCGAUUUUACAUUUUUUUACUAGAACAUCAAACGGUUCUGAAACUUUUUGCACUGUCUUUCUAUAAAAAAAUUAUUUUUCCUAAUUUUUUCAGAAUUUUUGGAUUACCAUAAGUAUGGUGAAUGUUCAGAUUACUACAUACUGUCCUGUUUCUGACAUAUUCUGUUUUUCGUGCAUUGUUUGCUUGUUUUGAUGAAACUAUCAAUUUCUAUCAGUAGAUUAAGCCAUGGAGAAGUUAUAUUACAGUAGCUAAAAUGCAAAAACAAAAUAUGAAUUGGUUUGAAACAGUACUUAGAGUAGUGAUUUGCUUUAUUAUACUAACGGAUCUUACCGAACUUUCUGUUGAGUUUUGUGUGGAUGAAGUGAUCAAGGAUCGAGGAGGUCUCGAUAUGAGAAGGAGGAGGAGAGGCAAGAGCUCAAUCUUGGGGAUUCCCAAGGCAACCCAAGUAAAUAUUCAAGGAGACUCAAGCAUCUAAGCUUGGGGAUGCCCCAGAAGGCAUCCCAUCUUUCUUCAACCAGUAUCGGUAUGUUUUCGGUUUCGUUUCGUUCAUGUGAUAUGUGCAAAUCUUGGGGCGUAUUUUGCAUUCAGUUUUCACUUUUCUUUGAUGCACCAUGCUGGUAUGAGAUAGUCCAUGGUUGAUUUAUAUAAUGCUCAUUGCACUUCACUUAUAUCUUUUGAGUAUGGCUUUCUAGAAUGCUUCAUGUGCAUCACAUAUAUCAUUUGAAGUUUGGAUUGCCUGUUUCCCUACACAUAGAAAACCGCCAUUUGUAGAAUGCUCUUUUGCUUAACUUAUAUUUGUUAGAGCAUGGGCAUAUCUUCUGUAGAAAGAAUUAAACUCUCUUCACUAGUACAGCGAGCUCCUAAACAAACGGUUUUUAACCCCUUUCCGCGACGGCAUUUGGAACCGUCGCCAAGUGAGUGUGGGCGAUAGGGGGGUCCUUCCCACACGACCCAGAAACCAUCGGGGAUAUGCCCUCCUGGCACACACGUUCGGCAAAAUGAGGUCGUGUGUGACCGGCGAGCGCUCAAAUACGGAAAUACGUACAAUAGAGCUAAAAAUACAAUUAUAUGGCGAAAUUAUUUCUGGUCGCAAGUACAUCCCACACAGUCACUCCCCACUAAACGUUUCCGUUCGUACGUACAUCCCACAUAGUCGCUCCAAGAAAAACGUUUCCGUUCACAGGUACAUCACACACAAUUUUUCCUGCUAAAUCGCUUGCAUUAUUGAAUAUAUCACACACGGUCCAUGGAAGAAACUGUGUGGCAAAGGUUGUCAUCACACACAGUUUUCAUGUGGUAAACAUUUGCGCAAGGUGGCCUAACGCAAACAGUUUUCAAGAGAAAGUGUGUGUGAUUGUUCAUUGAUCCAACACGGUUUAUUCCUAGAAACUGUGUGCGUUGUCCGAGGUUAUCUCCCAUGGUAUUUUUUCAACAACCGUUUGCAAUAGAAAAACCAAUUAGGAGGCUAAUUAUCCUAUUAUUCAUAAUCCAUUUAUUAAUCUAAUUGACAGUUCAUAUUAAGCACACAAUAUAUUUCAUUUUCAUAAUUGAAAUACAUCAGAGUACAACAUCAUAUAGCUUCAGCACUCGGCUACCCCAUUACACAACUACACUAGGACCAAGUUUCACAUGCAACAUCUAUAACCUUUCAAAAUUAGCAUCAUAGACGGUACAUAGACAGAUGUAUCUCAUCUGGAAAACUACUGAAGCAGAAGGCGAAUAUUGAGCCUUCAUUGAUGUUGAAGGUCUUUGUAACUUUAGGCCGGUGCCUGUGGAUGAUUGACCGUCCAUCCUUCCUCCUCUUCAGGAACACUUCAAUAUUGAGUUGUGGGUGUUGUAUAAAUGCCUUCCUUCCUCCUGACCAUACAGGUGGUUUGAGAUGUAAUCAUUAGUGAACUACUUUGGAAAGGCCUGAAAAUAAGGAUGUGCAUAAAUAUCCUCUCUAUAUUGGAAAUGGGGCAAAGGAAUAAAAAAGGCAAGGUAUAAUAGUCAGUAUCGUCCUAUAGUGAACUGAUAUCUUCUUCAUUGCGCAGACAAAUAUCUUUUUGUUUUUUGUCGCUAAUUUCUUUAUCCUAACAAUCUUUCUAAGUUUCUUGACUUGACUGAUAUUCAUGGACAACUCAUUUCCCCAUAUGCAAAAAGGGUCGAACAGUGGGUCAAAACCUCCGACAGCAGGACCUACAUGUGCAAGACCAAAUUGUUAAAAACCUAAAUAUUAGAAUGGUUCUUGCAAUUGCACAAUAAUGUGCUAUUAGAUAAUGGACCAUGCACGUGCUAACCUCGAUUGUAAACAUCGGUCCUUCCCAUUGUUUCCCUGCAACACAUAUAAGGUAGUUAGUCAUCAGGUUAAGUAAGGGUUCGCAUGCUAUCAGUAAAAUAUGUUGAUGAAAAAUAAUCACAUUGCAGAUUCAUCAGUUUAAUUGAAGCCGCACGGAAAACCCAUUUAUCCAAACCAAGCAUGAUUAAGAACUAGGAAAUAUAGCACUUGUAUAUGUUUCUCAUGUAUUAAGUGCAGCCAAAUUCGAUUUAUUCCUCACAUGCACAACAAUACAAAAUUCUACCGAUGACAAUUGGACAUUGCAUUGAAGAAUUGAACCAAGAAGUUAACUAAACACCACAACAAAUGAACCAGACAUUAACUGCGCACCACAUUGCACAAUAUAACAUACUCCUAAUAGAAGAUCAAACAGUUAACCAAACAGUUAACUACAGCCAGUUGUAGCAAUUGUAUUUGUUUCUCAUGUAUUUACUACAGCCAAAUUCAAUUUAUUCCUCGCAUGGUAUACAAUAACAGAAUGCACCCACAAUUUUGUAAAGAUAAAUUCGAUUUAUUUCUCACAUGGAAGACAAUACAAAAUUGCAGCCUGAAGAAUUGAACAUCACAUUUGCAGAAUUGAACCAAACAGUUAACUGAAGAUGACAACUAAUUAACAAAACAGUUAAUAAGUGAGCACCACACUGCACGACAUAUAGAACAUAUACACUAGAGCAACAGAUUGCAUGGUAAAAUUAGAUAGCACAAUGCACUAGAAUUUGUGAAGGAAAGGCAGGAGCAGCACACACAACGGGUAAACCGAGCAUGCUUAACUGACGUAGCUAGCAAAUGGCAAGGUGCUCCUUCAAGAUCUGGGGGUCGGCAUGAAUGGCAGCCAUCGCGACCUUAUCUGCGCGUGCGGCCGCGAUUCGCUUCUCUGCUGCCAAAUGCUCCUUGAGGCCCUGGCUAUAUUGUGUGCACCAUGGCUUAGGCCAGUGCUUAUUUGGUGGAGGGGUUGGUGAUUUGGGUGGAAGGUGUCGCGCUCGCGCCGGCGAUAGGGGCAUGUGGGAUGUGGAAGGAGGAGGAGGAGGAGGAUGGGGGUCGGGUGUGGAUUGCCUGCCUGGAUAGGCGAGGCCGAGGAGCGUGAAGGAGGGUCGCCGGCGAGGAGGCGGCGGCGCUGCAAGCAAGGAGUGAAGGUUUCAACUUGGAAAGGAAGGCGGAAAGAGGGGAAAUGUGGCUUUUGGUAAGCGGGGGGGGGGAGGUAGAUAUUUCCACGAAGAUGAAAAUUUGGAAUCGCUUCAGCCAAAAAACUGGCGUGCAAAGUGUCAUCAGACACGGUCCCUUAUUCAGACAUGGUCUGAAGAUAUUUUGUGCUGCAUCUCACAUGGUCGGUUAUAAUAAACUGUGUGGGAUCUACUUGAUUUUUCGUCUUGAUUUAAAUUACAUAAUGGGGUCACAGCGGCCAUGGAUGGUGUUUGAAUUGUUAGACCCUUUAUCUGCAGUGAUCAUAAAAGAAUUGGAAUUAUUCAGGGUUUGUUUGGACAUUUUUAUGCAUUAAGUGAGUUUUCAAUGCAUUUAUGUGCAUAAUUCAAAUUUUAACUACAUACACGUGUUCCAAUGCAUUUAAAUUCUUUAAAAAUCAAAUAUUUGUCCUUGGGUGCAUGCUUAGGUCCCAUGCAAGAAAUGGGUAUGAAUUUCAAACACCAUGGCACCGUUGAUUGCCGGCAAAACAUUGAGAUGCCUAGUUUUAAAAUUCUAGUAAAUCCAAAACUCGUCUGAAAUUCAUGAAACUUGGCAUGCUACCAUGGAGCGGCAUCAACAUGUCAUGGUAAAAAAUUUGUCCCAUUUGGGGCAGGUUUGGGUAUAUGCUUCUCACAACAAGCAUGAUGGUUUUCGGUAGGGAACGUCCCACCUUUGGGGACGAAACGAUAUCCAUUGCCUCUUAUUGCUUUCAAAAAAAUUUCUCGCGUCAACAUAGAACAACAGGAGUGUUGUGUGAAUUUUUGUGAUUUUUCGGGGUUCGUUUGGACAUUUUUAUGCAUUAAGUGAGUUUUCAAUGCAUUUAUGUGCAUAAUUCAAAUUUGAACUACAUGCACAUGCUCCAGUGCAUAUAAAUUGGUUGAAAAAUCAAAUCUGUGUCCUUGGGUGCAUGCUUAGGUCCCAUGCAAGUAAUGGGAAUGAAUUUCAAACACCAAGGCACCGUUGAUUGCCGGCAAAACAUUGAGAUGACUGGUUUUUAAAUUCUAGUAAACCCAAAACUCGUCUGAAAUUCAUGAAACUUGGCAUGCUAUCAUGGAGCGGCAUCAACAUGUUGUGGUAAAAGUUUUGUCCCAUUUGGGGCUGGUUUGGGUAUAUGCUUCUCACAAACCGGAGCUUCUCACAACAAGCAUGAUGGUUUUCGGUAGGGAACGUCCCACCUUUGGGGACAAAGCAAUAUCCAUUGCCUCUUAUUGCUUUCAAAUUUUUUCUCGUGUCAACAUAGAAUAACAUGAGUGUUGUGUGAAUUUUUAUGAUUUUUCGGGGUUCUUUGGACAUUUUUAUGCAUUAAGUGAGUUUUCAAUGCAUUUAUGUGCAUAAUUCAAAUUUGAAGUACAUGCAUAUGCUCCAGUGCAUAUAAAUUGGAUGAAAAAUCAAAUAUGUGUCCUUGGGUGCAUGCUUAGGUCCCAUGCAAGAAAUGGGAAUGAAUUUCAAACACCAGGGCACCAUUGAUUGCCGGGAAAACAUUGAGAUGCCUAGUUUUUAAAUUCUAGUAAAUCCAAAACUUGUCUAAAAUUCAUGAAACUUGGCAUGCUAUCAUGAAGCGGCAUCAACAUGCCAUGAUAAAAGUUUUGUCCCAUUUGGGGGCAGGUUUGGGUAUACGCUUCUCACAAACCGGGGCUUCUCACAACAAGCAUGAUGGUUUUCGGUAGGGAACGUCCCACCUUUGGGGACGAAAUGAUAUCCAUUGCCUCUUAUUUCUUUCAAAAAAAUUCUCGUGUCAACAUAGAAAAACAGGAUUGUUGUGUGAAUUUUUGUGAUUUUUCGGGGUUCGUUUGGACAUUUUAAUGCACUAAAUGAGUUUUCAGUGCAUUUAUGUGCAUAAUUCAAAUUUGAACUACAUGCACAUGCUCGAGUAUAUAUAAAUUGGUUAAAAAACAAAAUAUGUGUCCUUGGGUGCAUGUUUAGGUCCCAUGCAAGAAAUGGGAAAGAAUUUUAAACACCAGGGCACCGUUGAUUGUCGGAAAAACAUUGAGAUGCCUGGUUUUUAAAUUCUAGUAAAUCCAAAACUCGUCUGAAAUUCAUGAAACUUGGCAUGCUAUGAUGGAGCGGCAUCAACAUGCCGUGGUACAAAUUUUGUCCCAUCUGGGGCAGGUUUGGGUAUAUGCUUCUCACAAACCGGAGCUUCUCACAACAAGCAUGAUGGUUUUCGGUAGGGAACAUCCCACCUUUGGGGACGAAACGAUAUCCAUUGCCUCUUAUUGCUUUCAAUUUUUUUUCUCGUGUCAACAUAGAACAACAGGAGUGUUGUGUGAAUUUUUGUGAUUUUUCAGGGUUCGUUUCGACAUUUUUAUGCAUUAACUGAGUUUUCAAUGCAUCUAUGUGCAUAAUUCAAAUUUGAACUACAUGCACAUGCUCCAGUGCAUAUAAAUUGGUUGAGAAAAUCAAAUUUGUGUCCUUGGGUGCAUGCUUAGGUCCCAUGCAAGAAAUGGGAAUGAAUUUCAAACACUAGGGCACCGUUGAUUACCGGCAAAACAUUGAGAUGCCUGGUUUUUAAAUUCUAGUAAAUCCAAAAUUUUGUUAACCAUUCACGUGACACUACGUUUCUUGGUUUUAAUGGCUGUAGGAGGUGUUGUGCGGACAGCUGCUUGACCUUGACUGAACGAGAGGCGUGCGAGCGACGUCCAGUGCGCAGGCUGACCGAGAGGCAUGCAAGCUAUCCUCGAGUGUGUAGGCUCACCGGGAAGCGUGCAAGUUGUAUGCUACGCAGGCUCACUGGGAAGUGAGCCCUUUGACUUCCAUGGCCGCCCGCCUUGCUUGCAUCCUCUCCAUUAAUGGCACCCAAGCCGCAGUUUAAUUCGCUUUUUUAAUAUAAAACACUCAUCGCUAACGUUUUAGUUAGAACACCCGUAUGCAAACCGAUAGCUUCCCCAGGAAGCCAAGAGAAAAUGUGCCGAGUAGGAUUUCUGCAACUCUUGAUCGCAAACGUUUUAGAUAGACACCCGUAUGCAAAGUGAGAGCAGCGCAUGAUUUGUGCAUCCCUUCAACGCAAAUGGAUGUUUUGGAUGACCCGUGUGCAACCACGUACAAACAAUUUGGUAAUAUUUGCAUCUGUCAUAUUGGGUAUGUUGCCAUUUCUCAAACUGGAAAAUUUGCAUUUGUUGAUCUAGUAAUGCUGCCAUUUGUCAAUCCUUGUGACACUGUGAUUUGUCAAAAUAUGCAGCUAGAAAUCAUUAGCCCUAUGUAAUUUUUGCAACUAAAAUUCAGUCAUUAAGCAUAGGUUUCAUUCAUAGAUUAAGCAGUCGUUCUUAAUUUAUACAAAUAGUUCAACUCGACAGUUGAACUAACCAAACUUCUCCCCAAUUGUUGCCAACCACAUACUAAAAUAGCUAGUUCAACUAUAUAUACUAGCUAAUUUUACGUACGAUGUACAGUUCGACCACACAUCUAUAGUCAGAUGAACUGAACAAAAUAGCCCCUAAAUACUACUACUACCACGGAGGGGCUUUGUGCUACUUCCGACAGCCUCUCCUCUGCUGAGCGUGCUCAACAAGAGGCAAAGGAGGAGGAGCCUACCGACGAGCUGGACAAAUGCAAUACGGUGCCUGCCGCUGCUGCACGUUCAGCAACGCUCGCCAGCUCGAACGCCCACUGCCGCUCCAGACGAUCCCUCUGGAAGCGGCCGAACUGCUCAUAGAUCUCCCGAUUCCUUGCCUCUGCUUCGGCAUGUGCUGUGGCCAUGGCUGCAGUAAGGCUCUUUGCGUGCUCGGCGAGGCGCUCCUCCUCCUCCCACGGGAACUCGAUGUAGCGCGCAAGGUCGCUGACGCAUGUGCGGGCCUCCACCUCCACCUCCCUCCUUCGACGGCGGUGGCGGAGCGGUCGACGGUGGGCUGGUGGCCACGGUGGCCGACGAUGGGGUGGCGGCCACGACCACCACCUCCUGCCUUCAGGCCGCAGUGGCGGAGCGGAUGAUGGCCAUGGUGGCCAGCAAUGGGAUGGCGACCACGACGGCCACCUCCCGCCUUUGGGCCAUGGCGGUAAAGCGGGAGAUGGCCCUGGCUUUCGACGAUGGUGUGGCGGCAACGGCGGCCGACAACAGCUGCCGACGGGCAGCGGCGAUGGAGCAUGUGGUGGGUGUUCCGCGCACACCCAACAAGCACGCCACGCGCACUACACUACGCUAGGGACUACGCCGCCGCCGUGGUAUAGCCUCCCAGCUGGAGCUAUCCUCUGAUGAUGGUGGAGUGGCUGAGCGACGACGACGGACCGGUGCCAUUGGAGAUUGUGGGAGAAGCAGACGAGAUAAGCUACAGGGAGGGAGGGGAAAAUGCGACGUAGGACUCACCGGCCAUGAGGGUUUUUAUAGAAGGCCAACAAGCAUUGGGAUUUUGGGGAAUUUCACCGAGUCGGGCGGGAACCUACGAGGUUGCGUGGGAACGGGCUCAUCGAGGAUUCAUUGGCGCCACCGUUUUGCCAAAAGAACGCCCCUGCGCACUGCUCAAGCUUGCGUUGUAAGCCGUCUGCGGCAGCGGGGUGACAAGACGUGCGAGAGGAGGACGAGAGGACACAUACACAUACAGCUAAUAAAAAAACGUUUGCGAUUUAAUUACAUACUAUACCCCCGUCCUGGUUUAUAAGUAGGAUUUAACUAAUAAAAUAUGAAUGCAUGUCGCCAUAGAUUAUAUCGUUGGAGUCGUAUUUGAACAUAGUUUCCAGCUAUACAAUUUUUGUAACAUGCAUUAACUCUUUUUUGGUUAAAUUUAAGGUUAUACACCAGCAAGCGUUUGCCCGCAACACACACGGCUUAUUCCAUCACAAAUAGCUCUGAUGGAUCAACUGUCUGCCACAUAUCGCACACGCAACUCUAAUCUGAUUCGUGCUUGAUGUCUCCGACAUCACUCGCACAGUUCAUCUUAUUUGCCAUGUAUCACUGUGUCGUCCUCUGCUCGCGUCCCUUGGCAAGCUCUGCUCGCCGUUAGGCGCCGCAGCGCGCUAUGCUCGCUAUUAGGCGCCGCAGCGUGCUAUGCUCGCCAUUAGGUGCUGCAGCACGCUCUGUCGCGUCCGUUGGCGCGCUCUGCUCGCGUCGGUCGAAGCGCUCGGCUUGUGGACAACUUUUCCUUGAGGCGACGUGGAGUGCUCUGCUAGCGUCCCUCCGCACACUCUGCCAGCGCUUGGGCGUGCGCAUGAUCAUGUCGGGGGCCCCAUAUGCAUGCGGUUGCACCGCACGCGUUGCCACAUGAUGCAGUUACGUGCGGCAUGAUGGAGUUACACGCUGCAAAUUAGAACUGCCAUUAGGGCCUGCUGAUAUUCCUGGCCGUCCGGCUUCCCCUUUAAUUCCUGUAGCCAUUAUUACCUUAGUCUCUUCAACCUUUCGAUCGCGCCCCACAACACAACAAGCACACCCACGACAACACAUAGAGAGGGGAUGUCCGACAAUGCUCCAAUGGAGUUCCGCGAGCAUAGAGUGGAGACCCACGCAAGGGAGACAUAUCUCUCGGUGGUGUACACCAUCGACCCGGCCGUGGUGGACGACUACAUCAACAGCUUUGAGCAGUUGCUUGCUGGAGACAAGUACAAGGUGGUCGGCAUUGACCUCCGGUACAUCGCCGGUCGUCCCGACAUAGAUCAGAAGGUUGUCGUUGCCCAGUUGUGUGUGCGCCAUCAUGUCCUCAUCUACCACUACUGCAUGGCCAUAGAGCCUUGCGACCGUUUCAACAGGUUUGUCAACAGCACCGACUACAAGUUCGCCACGGUGGAUACCAAAGACGAUGUAAAAGCACUCAGUGUUAUGGGCUUGGCAUGCAAGAACCUUGUCUAAAUCCGUGACAACUACAGGGUCGGGGGCAACACGAAGCAGGACUCCCUGGUCGAACUCACCUCGGCCAUCAUCGACCCCUACUACAAAAAGAUGAAGCAGGAUGCCUAGAGAACAAGUCAUGUAUCCUGGCACAAGUCCUGGAUGCAGCAACUGGAUGAACCUCACCUCAGGUUUGCGGCCAAGAGAUUGUACACAUGCUACGAGAUGCACAGGCGGAUCGUUGACAUGAGGAAGUGCCUCCUUACCCAAAUCGACGAGCCUCGAUCGAGCCACAAGCAGAGCAAGCGUCACAAGAAGUAGAUGUUGAUCAGAUGAUCAUUUAUGCUAGUUAAUCAUGCAUGUAAUAUAUAGAUUACUUUAUUGGUGUGUGUGGAAAUGCGAUGUGUGUAGUAGCCACCUAUGUAAUUAUGCAUGUAAUAGUUUACUUUGGUGUGUGCAAAUGCCAUGGUUGUAGUACCCACCUAUGUAAGUGGAUGUUUAAUUUGGUUAUGCAAGCAUGUCCUUAUAAGUGUGUGUGUGUAUAUAUGUUGUUGUUCUGUAUGCAAUCCCAUCGCACAACACACACGUCUUAUUAGCAGCAACCGUCUGUGUUAUUAUCGGUCUUCACACACAUUUUUGAUUACAGACCUGUUUGCCGUGUAUCACACACAUCUUGUUAAGUUGAAUCAUUUUUGUUCUCAUGUCUCAACGCAAACAGUUCAUCCGAGUGAACCGCAUGUUGUAUAUCACACACGCCUUGAUCUGGCUAACCGUUUCUUUUGUGUUGCCUAAUCACAAAUAGUUCAUCCGAGUGAACCGUAUGUUGUGUAUCACACACACCUUCAUCUGGCUGCUUGUUUCUCUUGUUCCUUCCCAUCGCAAAUAGUUAAUUGAACUGAACCAUAUGCCCUUCAUCGCACACGCAACUAAAACCCGAACCGUGUUUGAUGCAUCCAUCAUCGCAAAUGUUUUACACAUUUCUAACGGUUUUCAUACAACAUCGUUUGUGAUUAUUGCAUUGCACACAGUUUCUCGAAGGGUCUCUAAUCGUAGUGUUGCGUUAGCAGCAUCCUGCAGUAGUGCUUGCUUCACUUAUAUCUAUUUAGAGAGUUGACAUGAAUUGGUCAUUCACAUGGUUAGUCAUUAAAUCCUACAUAAAACUUGUAGAUCACUGAAUAUGAUAUGUUUGAUUCCUUACAAUAUUUUUGCAAUAUAAAGAUGGUGAUAUUAGAGUCAUGCUAUUGUGUAGUUGUGGAUUGUAGAAAUACUUGUGUUGAAGUUUGUGAUUCCCGUAGCAUGCACGUAUGGUGAACCGUUAUGUAACGAAGUUGGAGCAUGGGGUAUUUAUUCAUUGUCUUCCUUAUGAGUGGCGGUCGGGGACGAGCGAUGGUCUUUUCCUACCAAUAUAUCCCCCUAGGAGCAUGUGCGUAGUACUUUGUUUCGAUAACUAAUAGAUUUUUGCAAUAAGUAUGUGAGUUCUUUAUGACUAACGUUGAGUCCAUGGAUUAUACGCACUCUCACCCUUCCAUCAUUGCUAGCCUCUUCGAUACCAUGCAUUGCCCUUUCUCACCUUGAGAGUCGGUACAAACUUUUCUGGUGCAUCCAAACCCCGUGAUAUGAUACGCUCUAUCACACAUAAGCCUCCUUAUAUCUUCCUCGAAACAGCCACCAUACCUACCUAUAAUGGCAUUUCCAUAGUCAUUCCGAGAUAUAUUGCCAUGCAACUUCCAUCAUCAUCAUAUACAUGACUUGAUCAUUUUUUGUCAUAUUGCUUUGCAUGAUCAUAAGAUAGCUAGCAUGAUGUUUUCAUGGCUUGUCCGUUUUUUGAUUCCAUUGCCAUGCUAGAUCAUUGCAUAUCUCGGUACACCGCCUGAGGCAUUCAUAUAGAGUCAUAUCUUUGUUCUAGUAUCGAGUUGUAAUAUUAAGUUCUAAGUAAAUAAAAGUGUGAUGAUCAUCAUUAUUAGAACAUUGUCCCAUGUGAGGUUAUCAAAAUAAAAGUGGCCAGAGAAGCCCCCCAAAAAGAGAGAGAGAGAGGCCAAAUAAGCCUACAAAACAAGAAAAAAAUGAGAGAAAAGAGAGAAAAGAGAGAAGGGACAAUGUUACUAUCCUUUUACAACACUUGUGCUUCAGAGUAGCACCAUGUUCUUCAUAUAGAGAGUCUCUUCAGCUAUCACUUUCAUAUACUAGUGGGAAUUUUCAUUAUAGAACUUGGCUUGUAUAUUCCAAUGAUGGGCUUCCUCAAGUGCCCUAGGUCUUCAUGAGCAAGCAAGUUGGAUGCACACCCACUUAGUUUCAGUUUGAGCUUUCAUACACUUAUAGCUCUAGUGCAUCUGUUGCAUGGCAAUCCCUACUCCUCGCAUUGACAUCAAUUGAUGAGCAUAUCCAUAGCCCUUUGAUUAGCCGCGUCGAUGUGAGACUUUCUCCCUUUUUGUGUUCUCCACACAACCUCCAUCAUCAUAUUCUAUUCCACCUAUAGUGCUAUAUCCAUGGAUCACGCUCAUGUAUUGCGUGAAAGUUUAAAAGGUUUGAGAACAUCAAAAGUAUGAAACAAUUGCUUGGCUUGUCAUCGGGGUUGUGCAUGAUUUGAAUAUUUUGUGUGAUGAAGAUGGAGCAAAGCCAGACCAUAUGAUUUUGUAGGGAUAACUUUCUUUGGCCAUGUUAUUUUGAAAAGACAUGAUUGAUUUAUUAGUAUGCUUGAAGUAUUAUUGUCUUAAUGUCAAAUGAUAGACUAUUGCUUUGAAUCACUCGUGUCUUAAUAUUCAUGCCAUGAUUAGAUUACAUGAUUAAGAUUAUGCUAGGUAGCAUUCCGCAUCAAAAAUUAUCUUAUUUAUCAUUUACCUACUCGAGGACUAGCAUGAAUUAAGCUUGGGGAUGCUGAUGCGUCUCCAUUGUAUCUAUAAUUUUUGAUUGUUCCAUGCCAAUAUUCUACAACUUUUACAUACUUUUGGCAACUUUUUAUACUAUUUUUGGGACUAACAUAUUGAUCCAGUGCCCAGUGCCAGUUCCUGUUUGUUGCAUUUUUUGUUUCAGAGUCCAAGCGGGAUAAAAACUUAUGAAGAUUGUUUUGGAAUAUAUGUGAACUUUGGGAAGUGGAAUCAAUGCGAGACGAUGCCCAAGGGGCCCACGAGGGUGAGGGGCACGCCCCAGGGGGUAGGGCGCGCCCUAGUCCCUCAUGGCCACUCUGUAAGGCGGUUGCUGCCCUUCUUUCACCACAAUAAAGCCAAUAUCCGGAUAAAAAACAUGUCGAAAUUUCAGCCCAAUCGGAGUUACGAAUCUCUAGGAAUUUAAGAAACGGUGAAAGGACAGAAUCGAGGAGCGCAUAAACAGAAGGAAACACACACACAGAGAGAGAGAGAGAGAGAGAGAGAGAGAGAGAUCCAAUCUCGCAGGGGCUCUCCCCACUCCACCGCCAUGGAGGCCAUACACCAGAGGGGAAACCCUUCUCCCAUCUAGGGGAAAGGUCAAGGAAGAAGAAGAAGAAGAAGAAGAAGAAGAAGAAGAAGAGGGGGUGAUCUCUCUCCCUCUCUCCCGGUGGCGCCGGAACGCCGCCGGGGCCAUCAUCGCGACAACGAUCUACACCAACAACUUCACCACCGUCAUCACCAACUCUCCCCCCCCCUCUAUGUAGCGGUGUAACCCCUCUUUUACCCGCUUUAAUCUCUACUUAAACAUGGUGCUCAACGCUAUAUAUUAUUUCCCAAUGAUGUAUGGCUAUCCUAUGAUGUUUGAGUAGAUCCGUUUUGUCCUAUGGGGUUAAUUGAUGAUUGUGAUUGGUUUGAUUUGCAUGUUUUAUUAUUGGUGUUGUCCUAUGGUGCUCUCCGUGUCGCGCAAGUGUGAGGGAUCACCGCUGUAGGGUUUGCAAUAUGUUCGUGAUUUGCUUAUGGUGGGUGGCAUGAGUGACAGAAGCACAGACCCGAGUAAGUAGGUUGUUUGCAUAUGGGAGUAAAAGAGGACUUGAUGCCUUAUAAUGCUAUGGUUGGGUUUUACCUUAAUGAUCUUCAGUAGUUGUGGAUGCUUGCUAGAGUUCCAAUCAUAAGUGCAUAUGAUCCAAGAAGAGAAAGUAUGUUAGCUUAUGCCUCUCCCUCAAAUAAAAUUGCAAUAACGAUUACCGGUCUAGUUAUCGAUUGUCCAGGGACA